GAACCUUGUCUGUAUGAUGCUCCAUGGUAAUAUCACAUUUUCCAGUAGCCACAUCCCAAAGUUUGACCUGUCUAUCAGCACUAGCACUGGCAAGGAUAUUCCUGAACUGUUUAUUCCAGGCAAGGCCAAGUACAGAAUCAGUGUGACUGCCUUCUUUGUAUUUGGUUGAUGUCUAACACAGAAAGUUGCAGAAUUUGUAAAAGAAGAAAGCAUGGGAGAAAAGAAAAGUGUUUAUCAGGACCAUAACAUAAUAACUGUUUUGAGGUCAUUAACACUGCCAGAAAUGGAAUGGUAGUUUCAAAAAAUUACUCAAAUUCAAACAUUGUGAUGAAAGUAAUACCCUGAAGCGUGUACAAUCCACACAAAACUCUUUGUUAAAUUGAACAGAAAUGAACCAAAUACAUGCCAAUAGAAAUGAACCAAAUAUUGGCCAUUCCAAGAUCCUUUUCAUCCUAGAUUCUAAUUAUGCCAAUAAGAAUUGAAUUGACAGCUCAACUCUAGCAACCAUUAUACUAAUUCAUAAGUCUUAAGACCUUCAUUUUAAACAGUAACUUGAAACAUAAUUUCCUUAAGAAUAAACUCCACCCAAAAAUUAAAAAAUUCAUUUAAUGUUCCCAAGGCUGAGUUUUAUCAAACAUGUUUCAUGCAUGCUGUACCUAUACCUGCAUAUGACAUGCCUGACCUUUUUACAAAGGUAUCAGGGCUUGUUUCUGAAAACCAAUAUUCAAAAUUGACUAAGCAGAAAAUGAGAUGCAAUGAAUUUAUGAGCGUCUCAUUUUUAUAAAAGUUAAUGAACAUAUGCACGAUAUUCAGUAUGACAGCAAGUGCACAAAAGCUGAUAACCACAAACAUAAAUUCAAAAUUUGAAUAUAACAGCAACAGGCUGCCAAAUGGAUAGUUGUGAAGAUAAAUUCACGGAUCUAUAUUAAACGUAAUGCAGGCAUUCACCAAAGCAGCAUGAUGCUAUUUUUACAAUUUCAUAGAUAGAACAAAUAAUAAUAUAGUACUUAAAAAUCUCAAAUAACUAAAUAUAUUAUUAUGUAUUAUUAAUAUAAGAUAUAGUAAAUGCAUAAGUAUUUUGCUAACAUAAAUAAUCCAAAUUAAAAUAUUAAAAUUGUAACAGAAUGUAGUAGUAGACCUUCUUUCCUUUUUUUUUUCUUCUUCUUCUUCAAAUUUACUACUUUAUUUUUCCUCUUUUUUUUUAAUUUUAUUAUUGUUUUCAGUAUCCAUUUUCCCUUGAUUCAGUGUAGUUAGUGAAUAAAAGUCCAAUUCCGAUCCUUUUUGUAAUUAUGAAGCAAUUGCCGUCUCAGAAUGGAUAUUUCAAUUUUAUUUAAAAAG
rnacentral:misc_RNA from 1 species